rnacentral:rRNA from 1 species
CGGCGGACGGGUGAGUAACGCGUGAGGAACCUGCCUCAAAGAGGGGGACAACAGUUGGAAACGGCUGCUAAUACCGCAUAAGCGCACAGUACCGCAUGGUACGGUGUGAAAAACUCCGGUGGUAUGAGAUGGACCCGCGUCUGAUUAGGUAGUUGGUGGGGUAACGGCCUACCAAGCCGACGAUCAGUAGCCGACCUGAGAGGGUGACCGGCCACAUUGGGACUGAGACACGGCCCAA